GUCGACCUCCUGGACCACCUCCGAGAGCUGCCGCUGCCGGCCACCAUCCCGUGUCGCAUCAGGACGCUUCACCAAUAAGCAUCUCCAGGUAUGCUUCAAAGGCACUGGCAGAGAAGGCCUUCUUCAAAGGAUCAAAUCGUCUGUCGGUGGUUGAGAAGCACAUGCGUCGAGGGCAUCCAUGGCUGUGGACUUUGGGCUUGAUGGGCAGUAGCAGGGUGGAGGAGAUCGAGGUUCUCGACACAAAAGACCACCGUGGAGACAACUUCACUUAAAAGGUGAUGGUGAAGCUCCACGACGGCCGUGGAAAGAGGGAGGAGCGGUCAGUUAGAAGCUCAAUGCGGCGCAAGACUGGUCAUUGGGAGGCGUCGAUGAUGACCUGGUGGUCGCCUUUCUGAGGUGUUGUUGCCGGUCUGCAUGGGGAGCUACCGCCGGCAUUCUCCUGGACCACCUCCGCGAGCUGCUGCUGCCGGCCGCAAUUCUGUGUCGCAGCGAGCUUAGCAUACCUGAUGAUGCACCACCUCCAUGGCUUAUGAACAUGAAUAGAUAUGGUCCUCCACCCUCUAGUCCCUGGAUGUAAGGUUUCGUGAUAUUCAACCAUCUUAUUGUUCAUAAUGCAUUGUCAACGUCAGCGACGUCGAAGCGCUGUUCGAGGUCUCCUAAGAGCACCAGUAGCGUCGUGGUCGACAACGGUCUCAUCAACAAGGGAUCUCAUGUAGUUGAGUCGAUCAACGGGUGCAUGCUUCUUCAUUUGAACCGUUCUACUAUUGGUAUGUAUAAACCCUUAUUUAGAGUGAUUUUUUUUCCUGAAAGGAAAGAAAGUCCUCUUGUCUUCUGCAUCCUCAGAUGCACACAACCAUAAUGCCGAGUGAUUUCUGUGAGACCACACUGGUAUUUUUGUAUUUAUUUUUCUUCUUUAUUUAAGAUAACAUAGAUAAAUGAUAUGUCAAUCUUUAGCAGGAAAAGGGUCUUAAUUUUUUUUAUUAUGAGGACCUGAACCAUGACAAAUAGGAUCACAAUCUGGUCUUUACAGUGAACUGUCUACCUUCUAGUCACUUGGCAAUGCUGUCAUGAUGUAAGUUCAUUCAGCUGUGUGACCACUACCUAGCAGAAAAGGGUGAAAAUCUAUGUGCUAUCUUUAACAUCCUAUUGUUUUCAGGUAUUACUUGUAGUUAACAUGACAAUUUUUAAAACCAUGUUACUUAAAAAUUAAAACAGAGGCUUUUAAGCUCUGCAAUCAUUUGAUAAAAUUCACAAACCUAGCAUUAGAAUAGC